CUUCUCAACCAGUUUACCUCUCUGACCGCUCUUACGGUGUUUGGGGGCAAAAAACUAAGGAUCUAGACUCUCUAAACCGCUCGCUGGGUCCUUCUCUCCCCACAAUGCACCGGGGCCAGCAGGAAGGCCGCUCCGACCCCUAAUUUUCCCGCGAAUUCAGUUCAAAGAGGCGGCCGGGCCCGCGAUCGGCAGCGCGCACCGGCCAACCAAGCCGCGCCUCCGCGAGAAGCGCCUCCGCGUGACUGACGGGGGAAUCCGCGGGCCAACGGGCUGGGCGGCCCGGCGGUGCGCGCUCCCGCCGGCCAAUCAGAGCGCCGGGCGGGGGAAGUGGGCGGAGCGAGGCCUGGGUAGGGUGAGCGGCCUCCGAAGCGGAGCGGGGCUCUGAGGAGACACUUUUUCUUCCUCCCUCCUUCCCUCCUCUCCUCCUGCCUUCCCUUCCCCUUUCCUCCCCUCUCUCCUCCUUCUCCCCUCGGUCAGCCGGAGCCUGCUGGGGCGAGCGGUUGGUAUUGCAGGCGCUUACUCUCCGGGGCCGCCCGGCGAGUAGCUGGCCGGGGAAGGAGGCAGGAACCGCGAUGGCGCCUCAGAAGCACGGCGGUGGGGGAGGGGGCGGCUCGGGGCCCAGCGCGGGGUCCGGGGGAGGCGGCUUCGGGGGUUCGGCGGCGACGGCUUCGAGCGGCAAAUCCGGCGGCGGGGGCUGUGGAGGCGGUGGCAGUUACUCGGCCUCCUCCUCCUCCGCGGCGUUACCGGUGAAGAAGUCGAAAAUGGAGCACGUCCAGGCUGACCACGAGCUUUUCCUCCAGGCCUUUGAGAAGCCAACACAGAUCUAUAGAUUUCUUUGAACUCGGAAUCUCAUAGCACCAAUAUUUUUGCACAGAACUCUUACUUACAUGUCUCAUCGAAACUCCAGAACAAACAUCAAAAGGAAAACAUUUAAAGUUGAUGAUAUGUUAUCAAAAGUAGAGAAAAUGAAAGGAGAGCAAGAAUCUCAUAGCUUGUCAGCUCAUUUGCAGCUUACAUUUUUGGUUUCUUCCACAAAAAUGAUAAGCCAUCACCAAACUCAGAAAAUGAACAAAAUUCUGUUACCCUGGAAGUCCUGCUUGUGAAAGUUUGCCACAAAAAAAGAAAGGAUGUAUGUUGUCCAAUAAGGCAAGUUCCCACAGAGUGACUCGUCCAAGAAGAAGAGAGUUUAAUGGAAUGAUUAAUGGAGAAACCAUGAAAAUAUUGAUGUCAGUGAAGAGCUUCCAGCCAGAAGAAAAUGAAAUCGUGAGGAUGGGGAAAAGACAUUUGUUGCACAAAUGACAGUAUUUGAUAAAAACAGGCGCUUACAGCUUUUAGAUGGGGAAUAUGAAGUAGCCAUGCAGGAAAUGGAAGAAUGUCCAAUAAGCAAGAAAAGAGCAACAUGGGAGACUAUUCUUGAUGGGAAGCUAUGGACUACUUAGAAGGUUGAGCACAUUAUAGUUAUGAACUCCCAUUUUUGAUUGAUGUUUUCUUCCCCAAAUGCUAAUUCAUGUUGGAAGUAGAGGCCUUUGUUUUUUAUACUUUAAAAAACACAAGUAAAU
rnacentral:lncRNA from 1 species